CCGCUCCCUCCCAAUAAGCCACCGGAUCUCCUAGUGAGGAGGCCGGGACCGCCGGAUCCGGUGACCCCGGUCUCCUCGCCGGCGGAUCCGUGUCAGAAGUGGAGAUU
rfam:Oryza sativa (indica cultivar-group) chromosome 3, whole genome shotgun sequence.